UCUGGUUGAUCCUGCCAGUAGUCAUAUGCUUGUCUCAAAGACUAAGCCAUGCAUGUCUAAGUAUAAAUAACUACACAGUAAAACUGCGAAUGGCUCAUUAAAACAGUUAUAGUUUAUUUGAUACAUUAAAUGGAUAACUGUAGAAAAACUAGAGCUAAUACAUGCCAAGGCCGCAAGGUCGUAUUUAUUAGAUAACUUAAAUAUGAAUCAUAGUAACUUAGCAAAUCUCAAUUUCAUUGAGAUAUAUCAUCCAAGUUUCUGCCCUAUCAGCUUUCGAUGGUAGUGUAUUUGACUACCAUGGCUCUCACGGGUAACAGGGAAUUAGGGUUCGAUUCUGGAGAAGGAGCCUGAGAAACGGCUACUACAUCUACGGAAGGCAGCAGGCGCGUAAAUUACCCAAUCCUGACUCAGGGAGGUGGUGACAAGAUAUAAUGACGCUAUGAAAAAUAGUGAUUAUAGUAAGGGUAUUCCAAACCGAACCACAAGUACGAUUAGAGGGCAAGUCUGGUGCCAGCAGCCGCGGUAAUUCCAGCUCUAAUAGCGUAUAU
rnacentral:rRNA from 1 species